rnacentral:rRNA from 2 species
UGGCGUCUUCGGCGUCCGCAUUGUAAUCUCAAGAAGUGUUUUCCGCUUCGGACCAUGCCUAAGUCCCUUGGAAAAGGGCAUCAUAGAGGGUGAUAAUCCCGUACAUGGCAUGGAGCGCCCGAGGCUUUGUGAUACGCUUUCUAAGAGUCGAGUUGUUUGGGAAUGCAGCUCAAAAUGGGUGGUAAAUGCCAUCUAAGGCUAAAUAUUGGGGAGAGACCGAUAGCGAACAAGUACAGUGAUGGAAAGAUGAAAAGAACUUUGAAAAGAGAGUUAAACAGUACGUGAAAUUGCCAAAAGGGAAGGGUAGGAGGUCAGAGAUGCGUCUUGGGAUUCAGCCUUGCUUUUGCUUGGUGUUUUUCCCAAGUUGCAGGCCAACGUCGGUUUUGGGCACUGGAGAAGGGUGGAAGGAACGUGGCACCUCUCGGGGUGUGUUAUAGCCUUCUACUGGAUACAGCGACCGAGACCGAGGACAGCAGCGUACUCGCAAGAGCGGGCCUUCGGGCACCUUUACGCUUAGGGCGUUGGCAUAAUGGCCCUCUACCACC